CCUACCCUAUGGACGGGAAUAACCUCGGGAAACUGAGUAUAAUGCCCGAUAGAACAUUAUACCUGGAAUGGUUUAUGUUCCAAAUGAUUUAUCGCCGUAGGAUGGGACUGCGGCCUAUCAGUUUGUUGGUGAGGUAAUGGCCCACCAAGACUAUUACAGGUACGGGCUCUGAGAGGAGUGGCCCGGAGAUGGGUACUGAGACACGGACCCAGGCCCUAUGGGGCGCAGCAGGCGAGAAAACUUUGCAAUGUGCGAAAGCACGACAAGGUUAAUCCGAGUGGUUUCUGCUAAAGGAACCUUUUGUCAGUCCUAGAAACACUGAUGAAUAAGGGGUGGGCAAGUUCUGGUGU
rnacentral:rRNA from 1 species